rnacentral:lncRNA from 1 species
GUUGUCUCCUAUUAGAGAAUUACAAUCAGUCUUUAUGCCAGAAAAGCAUAAACUUGAGGGGAGAGAAAGGACAAACAGAAUGGGGUGGAUGAUAAGGAAAAGGAGAUAUAUGAGUCAAGAUUUCAUUAUGCAAGUUAAAUUUACACUCCUGUGCCAGGAAUAAAUAAACAUAAACAAGGAUUGCAGACCCUCCUCAUAUACAAAAGAUUGUAACUUCAUUCAACCCUACAGUCUAGCUGUCUGAUUUACCCUGAAUUUGUUCAUCAGCUCCCUGCUACCAGGCUUGUGUCUCAGCUGUCACCACAGCACCUACCGGUAUCUUAUCAUUCCUUCACAAUCCAACUCAAGUGCUAUCUUUUCAAAGAGCUUCUCAUAUUCUACUACUUGGAAUGAAUCUCUCUAGCAAAUUGCUGUAAAGUACAGUUUAGCACUUAACACAAUGUAUUUGGUUUAGGAUUGUUAUUUAUGUGCGUGUUAAGUUGCCCUCUCCACCACCAGCACCACAUUAUGAGCUGUGAGGCCAGGCACUGUGCCCUAACCAUCUGGAGUUCCCAGCGGUGCUUGGCCCACUAUUAGUACACUGUGUGCAUGUGUUAUGCUCAUGCAAAUACAGGCAGUGCACAACCUGGAGUCCUGCAAUUGUGACCAACACAUACAUAAGACUGACUCAACAAUCACCACUCCUCUUCUGCCUUUCAAGAAGGGUUGCUGCGCUCUCAGCUGCCUGCCACCCAAUUCCAUGAUGCUUGAGUUGCUUGAACUCAAAUCUUAUCGUAUAAAAGAGGCACGAAAUCUGCUGAUCUCAGUAGAAAGCCCCUGAAAGGAAAAUGGGACCUAAUGAAAAUCUGUGCUCUCUGCAAAAGGCGCAGCCUGCUGGAGGUGGGAGGAGCCUUGGACUGAGACCUUGGGAUGACAGUGAAUUAUUUAGCUUCUCUGAGCCUCAGGCAUUACUCUUAAGUUGCUAUGCCCAUGUCUUAGUUGAUGUCUGCCUGCCACAACUAGCCUGCACAUCCCGUUGAGGUCAGAGAAAACUUUACUCAUCUUUGUUUUACCUCUUCUUUUCAUGUAACCCAACCCCACCACAUCAGUGUGCUUAGUUCAUGGCAAACGAAUAGUUAAUAAAUGCUUGAAGAAUGACCCGAAAAUUUAAAGGUACCUGGUACGAAAAAUUGAUUGCUGAGUCAAAUGUGCCUCACCUGUUGCUUUCAACAACGAUACUAACAUUUAUUCAGCAUUGCUACAUCCUAGGCACUCUGCUAACUACCUUGUAUGCAUUAUCAUAUAUAUUCAUCAUAUUAAGACUAUGAAAAAUGUAUUAUGCCACCCCAUCUUAGAAGAAACAGAGGCUUCCAAGGGAAGAUGGCUUGCCUCACAUCACAUACUAAGAAGUGAGCGAGCCAGGCUUCUAGAAGGAAUCACCAGAGCACUCACCGUUAAUCAGAACUGGAGGUUACAACAUAGCCCUUCAGGCCAUAUCCUCUGCCUAGAGCUAAACUUCAUCCGAAAGCACAUCCAGCUGAAAUGCAGUCAAUUAUUAACUAAGCUUAAAAUCUGCUGAGCUUCAGGAAAGUUGCAGAAAAACAUUAGCUCUUACCAACUGGUAGCUUGUGAGUGCUUGUACUGUACCACCCAUAGCCACAUAGCUUUCAAGGCAGUGGUACCUAAAGGGUGGUCCCAGGAUCCACUGUAUCAG